rnacentral:rRNA from 1 species
GCACUACGGUGCUGAAGCGACAAAUGCCCUGCUUCCAGGAAAAGCCUCUAAGCAUCAGGUAACAUCAAAUCGUACCCCAAACCGACACAGGUGGUCAGGUAGAGAAUACCAAGGCGCUUGAGAGAACUCGGGUGAAGGAACUAGGCAAAAUGGUGCCGUAACUUCGGGAGAAGGCACGCUGAUAUGUAGGUGAAGCGACUUGCUCGUGGAGCUGAAAUCAGUCGAAGAUACCAGCUGGCUGCAACUGUUUAUUAAAAACACAGCACUGUGCAAACACGAAAGUGGACGUAUACGGUGUGACGCCUGCCCGGUGCCGGAAGGUUAAUUGAUGGGGUUAGCGGCAACGCGAAGCUCUUGAUCGAAGCCCCGGUAAACGGCGGCCGUAACUAUAACGGUCCUAAGGUAGCGAAAUUCCUUGUCGGGUAAGUUCCGACCUGCACGAAUGGCGUAAUGAUGGCCAGGCUGUCUCCACCCGAGACUCAGUGAAAUUGAACUCGCUGUGAAGAUGCAGUGUACCCGCGGCAAGACGGAAAGACCCCGUGAACCUUUACUAUAGCUUGACACUGAACAUUGAGCCUUGAUGUGUAGGAUAGGUGGGAGGCUUUGAAGUGUGGACGCCAGUCUGCAUGGAGCCGACCUUGAAAUACCACCCUUUAAUGUUUGAUGUUCUAACGUGGGCCCCUAAUCGGGGUUGCGGACAGUGUCUGGUGGGUAGUUUGACUGGGGCGGUCUCCUCCUAAAGAGUAACGGAGGAGCACGAAGGUUGGCUAAUCCUGGUCGGACAUCAGGAGGUUAGUGCAAUGGCAUAAGCCAGCUUGACUGCGAGCGUGACGGCGCGAGCAGGUGCGAAAGCAGGUCAUAGUGAUCCGGUGGUUCUGAAUGGAAGGGCCAUCGCUCAACGGAUAAAAGGUACUCCGGGGAUAACAGGCUGAUACCGCCCAAGAGUUCAUAUCGACGGCGGUGUUUGGCACCUCGAUGUCGGCUCAUCACAUCCUGGGGCUGAAGUAGGUCCCAAGGGUAUGGCUGUUCGCCAUUUAAAGUGGUACGCGAGCUGGGUUUAGAACGUCGUGAGACAGUUCGGUCCCUAUCUGCCGUGGGCGCUGGAGAACUGAGGGGGGCUGCUCCUAGUACGAGAGGACCGGAGUGGACGCAUCACUGGUGUUCGGGUUGUCAUGCCAAUGGCACUGCCCGGUAGCUAAAUGCGGAAGAGAUAAGUGCUGAAAGCAUCUAAGCACGAAACUUGCCCCGAGAUGAGUUCUCCCUGACUCCUUGAGGGUCCUGAAGGAACGUUGAAGACGACGACGUUGAUAGGCCGGGUGUGUAAGCGCAGCGAUGCGUUGAGCUAACCGGUACUAAUGAACCGUGAGGCUUAACCUUACAACGCCGAAG